rfam:Schistocephalus solidus strain NST_G2 genome assembly, scaffold: SSLN_scaffold0005166
GAACCCGUGGCUCAAUGGUAGAGCGUUCGACUCAAAUACCAAGGGUCGCGGGUUCG